CCUACGGGGGGCUGCAGUGAGGAAUAUUGGUCAAUGGGCGCAAGCCUGAACCAGCCAUCCCGCGUGAAGGAAGAAUGCGCUACGCGUUGUAAACUUCUUUUCCAGGGGGAGAAUAAUCCUGUCGUGACAGGACUUGACGGUACUCUGGGAAUAAGCAUCGGCUAACUCCGUGCCAGCAGCCGCGGUAAUACGGAGGAUGCGAGCGUUAUCCGGAUUUAUUGGGUUUAAAGGGUGCGUAGGCGGAUUGAUAAGUCAGUGGUGAAAUUCUACAGCUUAACUGUAGACUUGCCGUUGAUACUGUUAGUCUUGAGUGUGGUCAAGGCAGGCGGAAUGUGUAAUGUAGCGGUGAAAUGCUUAGAUAUUACACAGAACACCGAUUGCGAAGGCAGCUUGCUGGGUCAUUACUGACGCUGAUGCACGAAAGCGUGGGGAUCAAACAGGAUUAGAUACCCCAGUAGUC
rnacentral:rRNA from 1 species